rnacentral:lncRNA from 1 species
UGCACCGUCGCCAUUUCCGGAGAGGGAAACGAUUCGUGGGUGGGGAACCGACUUGAUGCCGUGUGCUGAAACCCAUACAAAUAUCACUUGAUUAUCUGGAUUCAUCAGCUCUACAUCGUGCUUCCUCUAAGAUGUGAAUUGCAAUGUAGGAGGACCCCAUGCUUUUUGAUGCUAUGAAUGUACCCGGCACGUUGGUGGCUGCUGAAUGGAAAUUGUCUGGGAAGGGGCGGAGGCCAAUCAAAUAACAAAAGUUUUGGGCUUGUUCGUGUUGGGUCAUGAGGUUGCCAGGCUUUUCCUGUGGUUGCUGCCUGGAGAACUUGCAUGGAGGCUUUGUGCGGUGAAGUCGUGCUCAAUGUUAGCAACUUCCAUGCUUUUGGUUCCACUCUGGGGAUGCAUCAGUUUCGCUCUUGGGCUUGUCGGCGCCAGUUUUUCGUCGGCAGUUCGUGACGAUGUCUCAAACGGGGUUGGGGCAGUCUUUGGUGGCUGUUGAAGUGGAUUUCGUACCUUUAGGUGCUGAGUUUGGCGCAUGUGCGUUGGGACAUUGUAUUAGUAAUACGUCAUGCGGAUAAUCCAGUGUCCUUGUUCGACCCUUGGGUCUGCUGUGGAGAUUUUCUAUUGGUGUUGCCUUACGUGUUUGGUGUCGAUCUUUGAUGCUCCCAUCGAGUAGUUCGCUUUCGCGCUCAGGUUUUUGGGUGUCGGAUUUCGCGUCCGAUUGGUCUUCCAGCGUGUUUGUAAAACGUCGUUCGCUUUAUUCUGAGCCGGUUGCCGUUGUUCGUGUUAUCUUGAGUUCGCUGUGUCAGUUUUCCAUUGACAUAACCAUAAGGCUGCAUCAUGCUUGGAUUUAAAUCGGUCGCUCAUCCUGUUCUGAAGCUGGAAUAUUGGGUGGUUUUCCCGUUCCAAGGACCUGUUUGGCUAGUUGUCGGCAACUGUUUGUGACAUCGAUACGUUCUGGUCGCUUGAUUCAUCGCUUAACCUUCUGUACAGCGUGUGGCGUUCUGGGUAUGCGUGCUUGGCUGUUGGUGAAUUCAAAGAUUAAGCAGGUUAAUUUGGUACGAGUGUAGCAGUGAUGUCUGAUUUACGGGUUGGCGUUGGUUCUGUUCGGCAAUUCAUCGAAUACGUUGUAUGUUAUUGAAUAACUCUACGUUGUAUGCUUUUUUCUGGUUUUUGUUUCAAUAAAACUUACGAUAUAUUCGA